CUCUUCCAUUCACUCCCUCUCAAACGAACUCUUUUGGUUCUCUCUCCUCUAAGAAAAUGAAAUAAUCCUGUAUUUCUCUCUCCUCAUCUCAAACCGUUUGCCGUGUUUUUACCCGGUCGGUCACCAUCGAAACCCUAGAAAUCCAUACUUUGGUUUCUUCAUCUUCUUCAUGACCCAUGCUCCGACGGUUCUGAUUCGCGAGAUGUGGUCGGCAAAUCUUCCGGUUGUUCGACGCCUUUGAUGCAAUCACGUCUACAAAAAGUUCCUACAUCCACCGCCGAUUCAGUGGUGUGAGCAGCGAGUUGUAGAUUUCAAUCAAGUGGCAAUUCAUGCUCAUCAGUUUAAGGGGAGUAAUUCUAGGUAUUUCCUGACUCUCAAUCUUGAAUGUUGUAUUUCUAGGUUCCAUAUCUUUUUGUGAGCUUUGAAUAUGUAUUUUGAAUAAAAAUGAUGUGACUUUGUUUGUUGUUGAAUUAAAACCGAUACAAUUUGAAUAUGUGUGUCAAAUUCUCGAUUCUGUGCUCUAGAAUAUGUGUGUCAAAUUCUCGAUUCUUGCUCUAUGUUUUCUCUGGGUCUGAAGAGAUGAAUCAAGGUGGUAGUGGUGGUGGGUGGUUUGGUGGUGAUGGGAAGAAGGAAGGGAGUAGUUCAAGUAGAGGUGGGAGCGAAGCGAAUUUAAUUUCAUCUCUCACAUUUACCUGUGCUUGGAAGAUUUGUGGUCUUAUGGCGUCUGUUGAUUUAAUUCUUGGAUUAUUUCCUGAAUCAUAUUCUUUAUGGAUGUUAAUCUAUCAUAUGAUGUCAUUAGAACUUUUCUAAUCUAUCAUUGGAUUAAACAGUAAUAAUAUAAAUUUUCUAAGCCCAUAUUAAUAAAAUAGGAAAGAAUAUGGACAGGAUAUGAGUCAUGACAGCAAUUGCCAAUUGGAGCUUACCGUAAUAGAGUCAAAACGGUUGGUAGUCUACUUUAGCUGGUUCCAUUUCGUACAUGUCAACUUUUUUAUUUGUUUGUUGCUGUAAUAGUUUACAGUUUCUUAUUAAAUUCAAACAUUUUUUGUAUAAAUUUCGAGUUUUAUUUAUUUAUUUUUGUUUUUAUUCCAGAUUUGUAAGGAGGUAUGAUGAUUUAAUUUACCCAAUAUAUUUGUCUGAAUUCAAAUUGAUGAUUUCUAUUUAACACGCACUACCAUCUGAUCUCGAUAUUUUGCGUCUUAAUCCAAAUUUAUCUGAGAUUACUGGUUAUGUAUUAAUUUGAUAAAUAAUCACCAUCUUUCGGCAGAGAUUGCGUAAUAUUUCAAAUUCAAUAAUGGUUUUGCCCAAGGUAUCUAGCGCCUAAACUAGCUGAUGGUUAGGUGCUUCGUUUUGUUGGGCGCAAAGUGUGAACAAAUAUUGCGACACACAUUAUUUGAUUUCCACAGCUUUCUGUUACUUUUAUUCUCCGUUUACAUCUUAUAUUUUCCUUAAAAUCAUUACCCUUUUAAUCAAUGUGCAAUGUGUAUAGUUGACAGUGUAAUCAAUGGGAUAUGUUAGUUGUGUGCCUCUCUCCCCCUCUUUCCCUUCCUCCUUAAUUUUGAAGUUGUUGAUUUUAGAAUUUCGGAUUUAAUUGAAGUUGAUUUUGAAUUUUGUUUUAUAUUAACUUUUCUGAUUUCUGCGCUUAAUGUUUGUUGGAAUUUGUGGAAUUUUUGCAAUGAAAACUGAUGAAUCGGAGUGGGAGCUUCCAGGGAGGAGGGUUCUUCUUCUCUGCCUAUCUGUCGCCAUCCAGUUCCAAACAACCAGUGGCACGGUUGCCGAGUUCUGCCAGCUGAAGUUACUAAACUUCUUCAGAAUAAUUGCCUUCUGUCUGAGGUUCUCUGAGAUAUAUCAGGAGAUAGUGGCAAAACCAUUAUAUUCUCUUCUUUCUUCCGUUCAAACAGAUGAUUUCUUCAAACAAUAGCAGAACAUCGCCAAUACAAAGUUAAGAAUCUGUUUUUUCCUUACAAUGGUCCUUCACAAAGCGUGAAACCAAUGUUGUUAAUCGAUUCUGGACCAGGAGGAAGGAAUUGAGGUGAACAAUGGAGCAUUUGUGGAUUCUGGGAAGAUUGAUUGCAAGGCUGUUGCUUUUUAUACACGAAUUCGGAAAUUGUAUUCUAAAAAAUGGAUUCGAAUUAAAUUGGAGCUGUCUGACUUUUUAGUUUUCUUUGAUUACCUUAGUGGAUUAUCAAGUUUAGAUACAUCAGUUGCAACAUAAUAAUUUUAAGUUUUUUUAAUACUUUCGCACGCAUCGCGUGCAUAUAA